UAAUACGUAGGGUGCGAGCGUUAGUCGGAAUUACUGGGCGUAAAGCGUGCGCAGGCGGUUGUGCAAGACAGAUGUGAAAUCCCCGGGCUUAACCUGGGAAUUGCAUUUGUGACUGCACGGCUAGAGUGUGUCAGAGGGGGGUAGAAUUCCACGUGUAGCAGUGAAAUGCGUAGAUAUGUGGAGGAAUACCGAUGGCGAAGGCAGCCCCCUGGGAUAACACUGACGCUCAUGCACGAAAGCGUGGGGAGCAAACAGGAUUAGAUACCCUGGUAGUCCACGCCCUAAACGAUGUCUACUAGUUGUCGGGUCUUAAUUGACUUGGUAACGCAGCUAACGCGUGAAGUAGACCGCCUGGGGAGUACGGUCGCAAGAUUAAAACUCAAAGGAAUUGACGGGGACCCGCACAAGCGGUGGAUGAUGUGGAUUAAUUCGAUGCAACGCGAAAAACCUUAACCUACCCUUGACAUGUACGGAACCCUGCUGAGAGGCGGGGGU
rnacentral:rRNA from 1 species